GAUGAACGCUGGCGGCGUGCCUAACACAUGCAAGUCGAACGAAGCACUUUUUUGGAUCCUUCGGGUGAAGAUAAAGUGACUGAGUGGCGGACGGGUGAGUAACGCGUGGGUAACCUGCCCUGUACAGGGGGAUAACAGCUGGAAACGGCUGCUAAUACCGCAUAAGCGCACAGGAAGACAUCUUCUGGUGUGAAAAACUUCGGUGGUACAGGAGUGGCCCGCCGUCUGAUUAGCUUGUUGGCGGGGUAAAGGGACCCACCCAAGGCGACGAUCAGUAGCCGGUCCUGAGAGGAUGAAC
rnacentral:rRNA from 1 species